AUUUACCCCUAGGACCUCGUGGUAAACCUACGUAGCCAAAUGAAGUGAAGAAUCAUGUGAAACGCAUCGAACCUCUUAGGUGGGAUUGGAUUCAUUGAGCUUGAAAUGUCUCCUCACGUACCGCAAACUAUGUUUAGGAGGAGAUCUAUGAUUGAAUCAUGGCAAAAGAUACUCUCAACUUGACUACCUCCAAGAUAAAGGAAAGACGCAUCUCUGCCAAUACUCGGAUUCUGACAAAACUUACCUCUUUCUAUUAAUUGAUUCCCCGACGUAAUAUUAUUUUGCUCGGUUUGUUUAUUAAAUUUUUUAAUUCAUGUUGUGGUGUGCUCCACUCAUCAGCCAGCUGUCCCUUUCGCAAAUAAUCACACCCUCAAUCGCUUCAGGAA